CAUGGUCAUAGGUGAUACUCAU
rnacentral:snRNA from 1 species